AUGAAAAGGGUAAAAAGCGAAUCUUUUAGCUCUAGGAGGUUCAAGUUAUCGCAUUUCUUGCUGGGUUUAGCAGGAUUUUACUUGAUCUUUUUAGCAUUAAAGUUCCCGCAUCUCGUCAAUAUGGUCGCUACUUUGAGUGGGGAUACUGAAUUGGAUGGGAAAGUGAUGGAUAUGGACAAUGCAGAUCUAAGCAGGCCAUUGGUUCGUUCUUUCCAUCGUGGAUUAGAUGAUGAAGAGAACUUUAAUGGGCCUUCUAUGCCAGUGGCAGAUGAGAAAAGCACAUCAAAACGUGUAAAUCCACCCGAGUUUCGAUAUGGCCGAAUAACGGGAGAGAUUAUGAGACAUAGGAAUAGAACCCUUCACAUGUCACCGAUCGAGAGAAUGGCGGAUGAGGCAUGGACGUUGGGAUCCAAGGCUUGGGAAGAUGUGGAUAAGUUUGAUGUAUCGGACAUUGAAGAGAGUUCCUUGUCUGAAGGUAAUGACAAAUCUUGCCCUUCUUACAUCUCGAUGACUGGACAGGAAUUGGACAAGACCGAGGGGAUCAUGUUUCUCCCAUGUGGUCUUACUGCAAGUUCUUCUAUUACAAUUAUCGGUACCCCACAGUAUGCACAUAAAGAAUCUCUGCCCCAGGUUUCGAGAUUGAAAAGAGGAGAUGGAACUGUUAUGGUUUCACAGUUUAUGGUUGAGCUGCAAGGGCUGAACAUCGUGGAUGGGGAGGAUCCCCCUAAGAUAUUCCAUCUGAAUCCUAGAAUAGGAGGAGACUGGAGUCAUAAACCCGUCAUCGAACACAAUACAUGCUAUAGGAUGCAAUGGGGGGCGGCUCAAAGAUGUGAUGGUAUCCCAUCCAAGAAUGAUGUCGACAUGCUUGUUGACGGAUACCAAAGAUGUGAAAAAUGGAUGAGGAAUGACAUGGUAGACUCGAAAGAAUCCAAGACAAAUUCUUGGUUCAAGCGGUUUAUAGGCCGAGAACAGAAACCGGAAGUCACUUGGUCAUUCCCUUUCUCAGAAGGUAGGCUUUUUGUCCUGACCUUGCGAGCUGGAAUUGAUGGAUUCCAUAUAAAUGUCGGAGGGAGGCAUGUGUCAUCAUUCCCUUAUCGACUGGGAUUCACCCUCGAAGAUGCCACAGGGCUGGCCAUUAAAGGAGAUGUAGAUGUUCAUUCUGCUUAUGCUACUUCUCUUCCGACAUCUCAUCCAAGUUUCUCUCCUCAUAAAGCAUUAGAAUUUUCCCCGGAUUGGAAAGCUCCUCCCUUGCCGAGAAGUCCUUUCCGCCUUUUUAUUGGGGUUCUAUCUGCAACUAACCAUUUUGCCGAACGGAUGGCUGUAAGAAAGACAUGGAUGCAACAUUCAGCUAUUAAAUCUUCAGAUGUGGUGGCCCGCUUCUUUGUUGCUCUUAAUCCAAGAAGCGAAGUGAAUGCAAUGCUGAAGAGGGAGGCGGAGUAUUUUGGAGAUAUUGUGAUUCUGCCAUUUAUGGAUCACUAUGAGCUUGUAGUCCUCAAGACAAUUGCCAUAUGUGAAUUCGGGGUUCAGAAUGUGACAGUUCCAUACAUAAUGAAAUGUGAUGACGACAAUUUCGUGAGACUAGAACCAAUCUUGAAAGAAAUUGAUGGAGUCCCUCCCGGAAAGCCCCUUUAUAUGGGCAAUUUAAAUCUCCGGCAUCGCCCUCUGAGGACCGGAAAAUGGGCAGUAACUUGGGAGGAAUGGCCAGAAAAUGUGUAUCCUCCUUAUGCCAAUGGACCUGGAUAUAUAAUCUCCAGAAACGUUGCUGAAUACAUAAUUUCUCAGAAUUCAAAACAAAAGCUAAGGCUUUUCAAGAUGGAAGAUGUGAGCAUGGGAAUGUGGGUGGAGCAAUUCAACGCCUCGAGGACUGUUCAAUACACUCAUAGUUGGAAGUUUUGUCAAUACGGUUGCACGUUAAACUAUUACACCGCUCAUUACCAGUCUCCUAGACAGAUGAUGUGCCUUUGGGAGAAGUUGUCAAGAGGUCGUGUCCAGUGCUGCAAUUUCAGAUGACAAGAACAAGGAUCAUCAGCCCGGUUCGAUGUUAUACACCAUUACAGGCUCUGCAUGCUAGACCCUUUCGUUUCAAGAACUAAUGCAGAAUCUGGACGUGAAGAACAUGAAAGACGACUGAAUUCGACCACGGAAAACGAAAUUACAGGAGAUAGAGAGGUGCAAACACAGAAUUACAGGUUGAGGGUUUCUCCUUCACGGUCAUAGCGAAGAACGGGGCAGGUCAUACCAAGAUAGGAUCUGAAGAACAGUGUAUUGCCUCUUAAACCCAACUUCCGAAAUGUGCAAAAGGACCGAACCUUUUCGUCCUUUCUGAUUCCCGAAGCUGUCGAAGUUGUUUGGGAGCCGAGAAAGUCGGGGGAAAAAAAAGCUUUUUUAGAUGGUGGUGGUAAGAAAACUGAAGCAUGUGCAUUGGGUUAGUUCCAUGUCUCAGGCAAAUCCACGGAUUCUCCAUCCGCCAUGGGUAAGCUUCUCAUCUUCUACAUCGUCUCCCUUCCAUCUCCAACUCCCAUGUCCUACGCCUACAAGUUGUUCUCCGGAAUCUGAAAACCCUAACAACGUCUUCACGUUAUAUAAGCCCUUGAUGCCGAGAGCAGUACCUCGAGAUGCGAACUCUGGUUUCGCCGAACCAGAGAUUCAUAUAUACACAGCG